rnacentral:rRNA from 1 species
AGCGAACGCUGGCGGCAGGCCUAACACAUGCAAGUCGAGCGCCCAGCAAUGGGCGCGGCAGACGGGAUAGUAACACGUGGGAACGUACCUUUCAGUUAGGAACAACCAAGGGAAACUUUGGCUAAUACCGAAUACGCCCGUAAGGGGAAAGAUCUAUCGCUGAAAGAUCGGCCCGCGUCUGAUUACCUGGUUGGUGAGGUAAUGGCUCACCAAGGCGACGAUCAGUAUCUGGUCUGAGAGGAUGAUCAGCAUCACUGGGACUGAGACACGGCCCAGACUCCUACGGGAGGCAGCGGUGGGGAAUGUUGGACAAUGGGCGCAAGCCUGGUCCAGCCAUGCCGCGUGAGUGAUGAAGGCCUUAGGGUUGUAAAGCUCUUUCGUCAGGGAAGAUAAUGACGGUACCUGAAGAAGAAGCCCCGGCUAACUUCGUGCCAGCCGCCGCGGUAAUAC